GAUGAACGCUGGCGGCGUGCCUAAUACAUGCAAGUCGAGCGAAUGGAUUAAGAGCUUGCUCUUAUGAAGUUAGCGGCGGACGGGUGAGUAACACGUGGGUAACCUGCCCAUAAGACUGGGAUAACUCCGGGAAACCGGGGCUAAUACCGGAUAAUAUUUUGAACUGCAUGGUUCAAAAUUGAAAGGCGGCUCCGGCCGUCACUUAUGGAUGGACCCGCGUCGCAUUAGCUAGUUGGUGAGGUAACGGCUCACCAAGGCAAGGAUGCGUAGCCGCCCUGAGGGGGGGAUCGGCGACACUGGGACUGAGACACGGCCCAGACUCCGACGGGAGGCAGCAGUAGGGAAUCUUCCGCAAUGGACGAAAGUCUGACGGAGCAACGCCGCGUGAGUGAUGAAGGCUUUCGGGUCGUAAAACUCUGUUGUUAGGGAAGAACAAGUGCUAGUUGAAUAAGCUGGCACCUUGACGGUACCUAACCAGAAAGCCACGGCUAACUACGUGCCAGCCGCCGCAGUAA
rnacentral:rRNA from 1 species